UACAGAGGUGGCAAGCGUUGUUCGGAAUUACUGGGCGUAAAGGGCGCGUAGGCGGCCCUCUAAGUCAGACGUGAAAUCCCCCGGCUUAACCUGGGAACCGCGUCUGAUACUGGAGGGCUUGAGUAUGGGAGAGGGAUGUAGAAUUCCAGGUGUAGCGGUGAAAUGCGUAGAUAUCUGGAGGAAUACCGGUGGCGAAGGCGGCAUCCUGGACCGACAUUGACGCUGAUGAGCGAAAGCUAGGGGAGCAAACGGG
rnacentral:rRNA from 1 species